GCAGUCGAGGGGUACGAUGUCUUCGGACAGGCGACGACCGGCGCACGGGUGAGUAUCGCGUUUGUAACCUACCUUUAACUGGAGAAUAGCCCGAAGAAAUUCGGAUUAAUACUCCAUAACACUAUGAUCUGGCAUCUUUUUAUAGUUAAAGCUCCGGCGGUUAAAGAUGGGCAUGCGUAACAUUAGUUUGUUGGUGAGGUAAUGGCUCACCAAGACUACGAUGUUUAGGGGGUCUGAGAGGAUGGUCCCCCACACUGGUACUGAGACACGGACCAGACUCCUACGGGAGGCAGCAGUGAGGAAUAUUGGUCAAUGGGCGAAAGCCUGAACCAGCCAUGCCGCGUGAAGGAUGACAGCGCUACGCGUUGUAAACUUCUUUUGUACGGGAAGAAACACUUCUACGUGUAGAAGCUUGACGGUACCGUACGAAUAAGCAUCGGCUAACUCCGUGCCAGCAGCCGCGGUAAUACGGAGGAUGCAAGCGUUAUCCGGAUUUAUUGG
rnacentral:rRNA from 1 species